rnacentral:snRNA from 1 species
AUCGCUUCUCGGGCCUUUUGGCUAAGUUAAAAGUGUAGUAUCUGUUCUUAUCAGCUUAAUCUCUGGUACGGUCUCCAUAGAGAACCCAGAAGAUUAAACUGAUUUUUUUUUGGAAUUCGUAUUUUUUAUAUUUUUUUACAGGGGCGGGUGUUGGAUGUAGUUUUUUUUGUAAUGCCAUACAUCAUUGGCGCUCGGCCAUU